GUGUUCCUUCUCAAGUGGCCCAGUGAGUUUCAAGAGCUCUCUUAAAAGCCAAUGCACAACUCGCCACGAGAGGACGUUCACAUCAAAUACGUACGACGAGCAACAGUGGCAGCUGUCUCCUUUUCGCUCAUGAGUGUGAACUAUGACUUCCAGUACAUAAGUCUGGGCAUGUGCGGACGAGAAGCAAGCAGCAAACAAGAGACCGGAAUGGAACCCGCAGACAAGAAAGUUGCUGCAGCCAAUACAGGCCACCCGUGAUGAAAAUGCCACCAGCAAAAGAAGACAUAUUUGGCUUAAAGCGUGUAUGCGCAUAUAUUAAUGAAGAUUAUGAGGUCCGCAUCUCGUUC